CCUACGGGUGGCAGCAGUGAGGAAUAUUGGUCAAUGGACGAGAGUCUGAACCAGCCAAGUAGCGUGAAGGAUGACUGCCCUAUGGGUUGUAAACUUCUUUUAUAAAGGAAUAAAACGCGGCACGUGUGCCUUUUUGCAUGUACUUUAUGAAUAAGGAUCGGCUAACUCCGUGCCAGCAGCCGCGGUAAUACGGAGGAUCCGAGCGUUAUCCGGAUUUAUUGGGUUUAAAGGGAGCGUAGAUGGGUUGUUAAGUCAGUUGUGAAAGUUUGCGGCUCAACCGUAAAAUUGCAAUUGAUACUGGCAGUCUUGAGUACAGUUGAGGUAGGCGGAAUUCGUGGUGUAGCGGUGAAAUGCUUAGAUAUCACGAAGAACCCUGAUUGCGAAGGCAGCUUACUAAACUGUGACUGACAUUGAUGCUCGAAAGUGUGGGUAGCAAACAGGAUUAGAUACCCUUGUAGUC
rnacentral:rRNA from 1 species